rnacentral:rRNA from 1 species
UACGUAGGGUGCGAGCGUUAAUCGGAAUUACUGGGCGUAAAGCGUGCGCAGGCGGCGCGUUAAGACAGGUGUGAAAGCCCCGAGCUUAACUUGGGAAUUGCGCUUGUGACUGGCGAGCUGGAGUGUGGCAGAGGGAGGUGGAAUUCCACGUGUAGCAGUGAAAUGCGUAGAGAUGUGGAGGAACACCGAUGGCGAAGGCAGCCUCCUGGGCCAGCACUGACGCUCAGUGCACGAAAGCGUGGGGAGCAAACAGG